rnacentral:rRNA from 2 species
UACAUGUGGGGCGAGCGUUGUUCGGAAUUACUGGGCAUAAAGGGUGCGUAGGCGGCUUGUUAAGUCAGGGGUGAAAGUUUUCGGCCCAACCGGAAAAUGGCCUUUGAUACUGGCGAGCUUGAGUGCGUGAGGGGUGACCGGAACGAGUGGUGUAGCGGUGAAAUGCGUAGAGAUCACUCGGAAGGCCAAAGGCGAAGGCAGGUCACUGGUGCGCAACUGACGCUGAGGCACGAAAGCGUGGGGAGCAAACAGG